GAGGAAUAUUGGUCAAUGGACGAGAGUCUGAACCAGCCAAGUAGCGUGAAGGAUGAAGGUUCUAUGGAUUGUAAACUUCUUUUAUACGGGAAUAAACGAAUCCACGCGUGGAUUUUUGCAUGUACCGUAUGAAUAAGGAUCGGCUAACUCCGUGCCAGCAGCCGCGGUAAUACGGAGGAUCCGAGCGUUAUCCGGAUUUAUUGGGUUUAAAGGGAGCGUAGAUGGGUUGUUAAGUCAGUUGUGAAAGUUUGCGGCUCAACCGUAAAAUUGCAAUUGAUACUGGCAGUCUUGAGUACAGUUGAGGUAGGCGGAAUUCGUGGUGUAGCGGCGAAAUGCUUAGAUAUCACGAAGAACUCCGAUUGCGAAGGCAGCUUACUAACCUGUAACUGACAUUGAUGCUCGAAAGUGUGGGUAUCAAACAGGAUUAGAUACCCUGGUAGUCCACACGGUAAACGAUGAAUACUCGCUGUAGGCGAUAUACGGUCUGCGGCCAAGCGAAAGCAUUAAGUAUUCCACCUGGGGAGUACGCCGGCAACGGUGAAACUCAAAGGAAUUGACGGGGGCCCGCACAAGCGGAGGAACAUGUGGUUUAAUUCGAUGAUACGCGAGGAACCUUACCCGGGCUUAAAUUGCAACCGAAUAUGGCGGAAACGCCAUAGCUAGCAAUAGCGGUUGUGAAGGUGCUGCAUGGUUGUCGUCAGCUCGUGCCGUGAGGUGUCGGCUUAAGUGCCAUAACGAGCGCAACCCUUGCCGAUAGUUACUAACAGGUUAUGCUGAGGACUCUGUCGGGACUGCCAUCGUAAGAUGUGAGGAAGGUGGGGAUGACGUCAAAUCAGCACGGCCCUUACGUCCGGGGCUACACACGUGUUACAAUGGGGGGUACAGAGGGCUGCUACCACGCAAGUGGAUGCCAAUCCCAAAAACCUCUCUCAGUUCGGAUUGAAGUCUGCAACCCGACUUCAUGAAGCUGGAUUCGCUAGUAAUCGCGCAUCAGCCACGGCGCGGUGAAUACGUUCCCG
rnacentral:rRNA from 1 species